rnacentral:rRNA from 1 species
GACGAACGCUGGCGGCGUGCUUAACACAUGCAAGUCGAACGGAAAGGCCCUGCUUUUGUGGGGUGCUCGAGUGGCGAACGGGUGAGUAACACGUGAGUAACCUGCCCUUGACUUUGGGAUAACUUCAGGAAACUGGGGCUAAUACCGGAUAGGAGCUCCUGCUGCAUGGUGGGGGUUGGAAAGUUUCGGCGGUUGGGGAUGGACUCGCGGCUUAUCAGCUUGUUGGUGGGGUAGUGGCUUACCAAGGCUUUGACGGGUAGCCGGCCUGAGAGGGUGACCGGCGACAUUGGGACUGAGAUACGGCCCAGACUCCUACGGGAGGCAGCGGUGGGGAAUAUUGCACAAUGGGCGGAAGCCAGAUGCAGCAACGCCGCGUGCGGGAUGACGGCCUUCGGGUUGUAAACCGCUGUCGCAUGUGACGAAGCGUGAGUGACGGUAAUGGGUAAAGAAGCACCGGCUAACUACGUG